rnacentral:tRNA from 1 species
GCGGGAGUAACCAAGUGGCCAACGGUGGUAGACUCAAGAUCUACUCGUGUAGACGUUCGGGGGUUCGAAUCCCUUCUCCCGCACCA